UACGUAGGGGGCAAGCGUUGUCCGGAAUCAUUGGGCGUAAAGCGCGUGUAGGCGGUUCGGUAAGUCCGCUGUGAAAGUCGGGGGCUCAACCCUCGGAUGCCGGUGGAGUACUGUCGGGCUUGAGUACGGAAGAGGCGAGUGGAAUUCCUGGUGUAGCGGUGAAAUGCGCAGAUAUCAAGGAGGAACACCAAUUGCGAAGGCAGCUCGCUGGGACGUUACUGACGCUGAGACGCGAAAGCGUGGGGAGCAAACAGG
rnacentral:rRNA from 1 species